rnacentral:rRNA from 1 species
AUUGAACGCUGGCGGCAGGCCUAACACAUGCAAGUCGAGCGAGCGGCGGACGGGUGAGUAAUGUCUGGGAAACUGCCUGAUGGAGGGGGAUAACUACUGGAAACGGUAGCUAAUACCGCAUACCAUCAGAUGUUCCCAGAUGGGAUUAGUGAGUAGGUGGGGUAAUGGCUCACCUAGGCGACGAACCCUAGCUGGUCUGAGAGGAUGACCAGCCACACUGGACCUGAGACACGGGCCAGACGCCUACGGGAGGAAGCAGUGGGGAAUAUUGCACAAUGGGCGCAAGCCUGAUGCAGCCAUGCCGCGUGUGUGAAGAAGGCCUUCGGGUUAUAAAGCACUUUCAGCGGGGAGGCGUUACCCGCAGAAGAAGCACCGGCUAACUCCGUGCCAGCAGCCGCGGUAAUUC